rnacentral:misc_RNA from 1 species
GUCCUUUGAUAAGCCACAGCCAAUGAAUUGGUGGUUACGUUCUUAUACUAUUAUUUAACUGAUGCUUACCAAGUUCGCUGUAGAUCACCAUCAACAACAAACCGAUUUGCUCUUUUUAACAAACCAUCAAGUGCACCCCAAAUUUGAUUGUUAUUUUGAAUAAAAUAAUUUCACUGAUCAAGAGAUUUCCAGGACAUCUGUCCAAAAUUGAAGUAGAGAAAGUAUUAUCUAAAGAUGGCCAGAAUUGGAACAUUGUCCUCCAGUAUUGCCUUAAAGCCUAUUAUGCCUACCUAAGUUUGUUUAUGCAAUAAAACCUGAGCUAGUUCAAGCUAAGCUGGCUCGAAAAUAGGAGUACAAAAGACCGUCAUGAAUAUCUUGAAACCAGUACCUGUUAGAUGUUCAAAGCACUUCAACAUUACCUUUCACACAAAAAUCUUUAAACCUCUAACUGACUGGUUUUGAACCUGAAACAACAAUGUGGACAAAAGUCCGCAGAAACUAUGGCCAUUCCUAUAAAU